AUACUUACCUGGACGGGGUUGAUGGGCGAUCAAGAAGGCUCAUAGUCUGGGCCCGCGACCUCCAUUGCACGUGGGAGGGGCGCUGGUCUACCAUCUCCCCAAGCGGGAGAGUGGACGUCGAAAUUUGUGGCAGCGGGGGUACGCGUUCGCGCGGCCCCCAC